rnacentral:rRNA from 1 species
UACGGAGGUGGCAAGCGUUGCUCGGAAUCACUGGGCGUAAAGGGCGCGUAGGCGGGGAGGUAAGUCGGGUGUGAAAUCCUGGAGCUCAACUCCAGAACUGCCUUUGAUACUGAAGAUCUUGAGUUCGGGAGAGGUGAGUGGAACUGCGAGUGUAGAGGUGAAAUUCGUAGAUAUUCGCAAGAACACCAGUGGCGAAGGCGGCUCACUGGCCCGAUACUGACGCUGAGGCACGAAAGCGUGGGGAGCAAACAGG